UACAGAGGGUGCGAGCGUUAAUCGGAAUUACUGGGCGUAAAGCGUGCGUAGACGGUUUCGUAAGUCGGGUGUGAAAGCCCCGGGCUCAACCUGGGAAUUGCAUUCGAGACUGCGUAGCUAGGGUGCGGAAGAGGGAAGCGGAAUUUCCGGUGUAGCGGUGAAAUGCGUAGAUAUCGGAAGGAACAUCAGUGGCGAAAGCGGCUUCCUGGUCCAGCACCGACGUCAGGCACGAAAGCGUGGGAGCAAA
rnacentral:rRNA from 1 species